AACUCCUCCUAACGAGCCGAGGCUCAUUUAGCAUCACCUCUUACAGGAAGCCUUUCAUAACUCCUGGCUCUUCCAAAGGCUGAGUUCCCAUAACGUCCAGGCUUACUUCUGGCCCAUCACUUAACUGUAUUUAUCCCAAUUGGGCUGAGAGCCCUUCGAAGGUAAAAACUGUAUCCAAGUCACCUCUGCAUCUCCAGCCUCCAGCAUGGGACCUCUUUGGCAACUGGAAGCACACAGUAGGUGUUUUCUGAGUAAAAUCUAUAGAUGAAUGAUGUUCACCUGUCUGGCGUCAGGGAUGCCCUUGCCACAUCCGGGGGACAGCUACAUCUUGGCAGCAGACAGAGAACAAACAUCCAGAUGAGGAAACAGAAGCUCAUUGAAGGCAACUUGAAGGUGGAUCUACAUGUCCCUCCCCCACAUUAGACCACAAGAGGCUCAAAGAUAGGGAGAAAUGCACACUCAUGUUAAAGCUGCAUUAUUCACAACAGCCAAAAGGUGGAAGCAAGACAAUUAAUUCUCACAGAAACUCUUGGAGGUAGCUGCAAGAGCUGCUAGGGACCUCGAUUAGAGUUAUUACAUAUGGACCCUCAUGAAUCAGAGGAAGAACGAGGCCUGGAGUCAUGAAGGGGCUUAACUGAAGUCACAAGGCUCACGGCAGGACCAGUAUCAAAAUAGACCCCAAUGUGCGGCAGGUAAGUGGCUGGCUUGAAGGAGUGGCUAACUGGGUGCAUUAUAAAUUCCUGACUCCUUCCCCCUGCAGCCCUGCAAAUCUUGCUGCUGGGACCACUUAGUUUCCACCAUGGACAUUCCCCUGCCCAUAUCCCUUGGGCUUUUGCUGGAAUAUUGGAAUCAAGUUCUCCCUAUUGUUAGCUCCCCUCUGACUUUGUGCCUUGGACUUGCAAGCUGGUCUUUUGCCUGAUGAAGAUGAUCUUCUUAAAUCUCUAUUAUGGAAACCAGGACUCUGUCAGAGCCCCAGUACCUACCUUUUCCUCCAGCCAGUUUCCCAGAAGCUCGAAUUUGGUCCCUGCUGCCUUCCUUCCUGGCUCUUUCCUAUCACCUGCCAUGAGACCUGGUAACAUGAUGUUUUCCUUGCCCCUGGGAAUACCCCUGGCAGCGUUGCUAAACUACCUUGAUGGAUAUUUACUACUCUCAGCCUGAACUCCCUAUUGACACUACACCUGGGGCAACUGGGGAUCACUAGCUCUGCUGGCUCUCAGCAUCCUGGGUCCUUUUCUCCCCUGUCCCUCCCGGUCAUACCUGAUACUGACACAUAAGAUGGCUUUUCAAGCUUGCUAUCUGUUUGACUUUUGCUUUUUGAAAACUGUCUUCCCUCUUCCAGUCAAUCAGUGCUUAUUGGAUUAUUGACUCCCAAAGGAAGUGGUUCUCAAACUUAAGAGUACUUUGGAAACAUCUGGAGAGCUUGGUAAACAGCUCUGCACCCAGAAACUCUGGUUCAGUGGAUCUGGAGACAGGGCCUUGGAAUAUACAUUUUUAAUGAGGCAGAUGCUAAGUGCACCAAGCUUGGAGAGAUAGAAGGCAGGCACUAUGGGAGUUAAUAACAGGAAUCUCACACAUGGGCAUUUUAUGUCAACUUGCAAGAUAAUAUUAGUUCAUCUACCCCAACCUUGUGUUAAAACAAAACAAAACAAUGAAACAACAC
rnacentral:lncRNA from 10 species